AACUCGGAGAUAGCUGGUUCUCUGCGAAAUCUAUUUAGGUAGAGCGUCAUCCGAAUACCCCCGGGGGUAGAGCACUGGAUGGGUAAUGGGGCCCCACAGGCUUACUGAUCCUAACCAAACUCCGAAUACCGAGGAGUACUAGUCGGCAGACACACGGCGGGUGCUAACGUCCGUCGUGAAGAGGGAAACAACCCUGACCUCCAGCUAAGGUCCCCAAGUCAUGGCUAAGUGGGAAAGGAUGUGAGACUCCCAAAACAACCAGGAUGUUGGCUUAGAAGCAGCCAUCAUUUAAAGAAAGCGUAACAGCUCACUGGUCUAAUUAAGGGGUUUUGCGCCGAAAAUGUAACGGGGCUAAAGCCAUGCACCGAAGCUUUGGGUUCACCGCAAGGUGAGCGGUAGCGGAGCGUUCCGUAGGCCGAUGAAGGAGGAUCCGUGAGGACUUCUGGAGGUAUCGGAAGUGCGAAUGCUGACAUGAGUAACGACAAUGGGGGUGAAAAACCCCCACGCCGGAAGACCAAGGGUUCCUGCGCAACGCUAAUC
rnacentral:rRNA from 17 species